CAAUAGCGUAUAUUUAAGUUGUUGCAGUUAAAAAGCUCGUAGUUGGAUUUCGGAUGGGACUUGCCGGUCCGUCGUUUCGAUGUGCACUGGCCAGUCCUAUCUUGUUGUCGGGGACUAGCUCCUGGGCUUCACUGUCCGGGACUAGGAGCUGACGAGGUUACUUUGAGUAAAUUAGAGUGUUCGAAGCAAGCCUACGCUCUGAAUACAUUAGCAUGGAAUAACACGAUAGGACUCUGGCUUAUCUUGUUGGUCUGUGAGACCAGAGUAAUGAUUAAGAGGGACAGUCGGGGGCAUUCGUAUUUCAUUGUCAGAGGUGAAAUUCUUGGAUUUAUGAAAGACGAACUUCUGCGAAAGCAUUUGUCAAGGAUGUUUUCAUUAA
rnacentral:rRNA from 1 species